GGAAGGAGGGGGAGCAGGGAGGAGCUGGGUAGUGGCAGACAACAGCAAUGCUAGGAGACAGGAGCAGUGACAGCAGGUAGCUUCAAGAAGGUAAUUAAAUACACACAAGAGACUCAUAACUGGUUAUUAGAUCACUUGAGUUUUUCCUUUCACCAGAUCUAAGAGUCGGAUCUCUGCAGUCAAAGCAGCAGAACGAAUAAAGGGAACAAAGAGCCUGCAUGAGAAGAGGGUGACUGGGGAUAAAGCAAGGGAAGAAAACCACAUUGCAGCUGUGUCACACAGCCUCUCACUCCAACUUGUGGCCAAACAACACUGAAUCAUCAGCUUUCAACCCUAACAACGGGCAACCAGCCAGUCCAUUCAUGCCAUCCCACAACCCACAGGAGAACACGCACCUUCUGCAUGAUCAGGCAGGGUGGCAGCCAACAGCUAACUGGGCCACCUGACCCUCCCCGCAAAGCACAACAAGUACAGCCUAAUGCCGGGAAAGCAGGAACAGCUCAAACCCAGAGCCAGCUCUGAAUUUGCACAAAGCUCAGAAGUGUUUGGCUGAAAUCACAAUACAUGAAACGCAUUCGGCUCUUCACUCCGAACAAGGAGCCGUGCUAGAGGGUGUUUCAUCCCUUGGAGCUCCCCUGGGAGAAAGCGUAUUGACUCAGGCCCCUCUUUGCACAUUGCCUCUAAGCAGCUGGCUGUUGACAAAGCUGAAGAGCAGGAACACAGAGGGAGAUGUCCCACAGGGGAAAAUAAACCAAGCACCUGAUAAAGCUGGUGAUACGAGGGCUAAGACUUGCACCUUCUUUCCCACCACCCCACCUACUUGGAACAACCUCCCAGGGAAUGGACACGCAGUCCCACUACUCUCCUCGCUCAGAUGCCUGAACACCUACCUUUUCCAUGGAGCGGUCGAGCUGGAGGGACUGGGACCACCCUGCACUUCCUAGUGUAGCACUCAGGCCGGACAAUAACUCAAGAUAUCACCCUUUCUUUGGAAAGCUGCAGUAGAUGCUACUCAAGACAUACUCACCCUUUUUUACAUUUCUUGAAGAUUUUUCCAAUUUUAUCAAAAGGAACAUCAUACUUGUCCGAUAUCUAGAACAUAAAAAGAAAACACAGUCCCUAAAUCAGGUAGACUGUAGGCCACUUUGUAUUUCACUUUUACUCAGAUGCACGAUACAAUGAUGUAAAUCAAACAAAACCCCUGCCUUGCAAGAUUGACACUGACAUUCCUAAAAAAUAAUCCAAUCGACAGGACAUGCCAAUUUUUAAAUUAUUAUUUCCAGUUUACCAGUGAAUUCAUUACUAGGACAGGAAUGCAAUCAGUUUCAAUGCUUAAUUUUCUUAUUUUCACUUUGAAGUUCCUGGCCAAAUUUUUCAAACGUCCAUAUUUAAACAACUAAAUAAAAGCGUUCUCAUGACUGAGCAAACCCUCUGAUUUCAAUAAACAACUGAAUCAUGUUUUAACCACGACUGCUGCUAUCAGGUGGUAACUGGGUUCCACGCAUGGUGGCUUUAUGUAUGGCAGAACAGGCCUUAAAGAAAAUGGGCAUCGCUCACCAAGGAUCUUCAUUUUCCGUGAUUAAAAAAUAAAUACAAUUAUCCGAUAAAACCCCUCAUUUUUCUGCAAGUAAAAUGAAAUGCUGAACUUUAGUUUCCUAGCCACAAUAUAGAUAGGUAUCAGUUGAACACAAUGUUUUAUUGAUAUAUUUAAACUUGUAAAAUGCUGGAAUGAUCCAGUCACAGUGCAUUGUUUCUUGACUGUUGUCAAUGGCCCUGCUGUUUCAGUCUCAUUUUCGUUUUUCUGUUUAUGUUUAGCACUUCCCAUGUGUUCUACAAUUGUCUGCCUUUGAAUGUAAUCUACAGCCUGGCUGCCUACAGUACAGCACAUCACCAUCAAUGUGAAAUUUGUCCUUGCCACACUCAGUGACACGGUCUUUAGGGGGGAUUUUUAAAGUUUUCGGCAUCUUUUCAUAACUUUAAUUACUCACAUCUAGAGGCUGAAGUGAAAUUUGAGAUGCUGUAAAACACAAACUCCUGUACUCCAUUACGUAACCUGUGACAUUUCACUCCAUAUUCUUUAUGGAAAUGGACUUAUGAUAUGAAUAUGACGUAACUGAGUGAAUAUUUUAAGAUAUCAUUGGAAAGCUUAUAAUUUACUGAAUGUGAUUAUCCAAUUUGUAUGCCUGUAUCAUUUCUGUAUCUGAAAUUAAGAAUAUUGACUAUGUAUCUGUAUUUCAACUAUGCUACUUUGGGUGACGCCCACUGCUAACACUUCAGGUAUAACAAUAGAAAGAGCCAGACAGGGCGGAUGGCCCAUCAGCGAGGACAAUGGACUGUGCAAAGGCUUGGCCUUCCUGCGGACACUCCAUACUGCCACUGACUCAUGGACGCUGUGAUCCUACAGAGUCAGGUGGUCUUGUCACCUGAUACUAAACAUUA